rnacentral:rRNA from 1 species
UACAGAGGCCCCAAGCGUUAGGCGGAAUCACUGGGCUUAAAGCGUGUGUAGGCGGGUUGGUAAGUACUUUGUGAAAUCCCACGGCUUAACUGUGGAAUUGCUUAGUAUACUGCCGAUCUUGAGUCAUUUAGGGGCAGCCGGAACAGAUGGUGGAGCGGUGAAAUGCGUAGAUAUCCGGAGGAACACCGGUGGCGAAGGCGGCUUCCUGGACCGACACUGACGCUGAGGCGCGAAAGCUAGGGGAGCAAUCGGG